GCCACCUCAGCUACAGACUGAGGCCGGUAACACUGAGAUGGAUGGACAAUAUCCCUAUACCAUGAUCCUUUACGUCGGUCGACCUGUCCCCUGUGGGAGGGAUCAUUACUGUUACGCCCAUGUUUUGGAUUGUGAUGUCAUAGUGUUCUAUAUCCUCUUCCUGGUCUUUCUGUCAGCCUUGAGGUUCACCAGACUCCCUCUGAAGUCUUACUCAAACACGGAGAAAAUGUUCAACUCUUCUGCCAUCACGAGAAAACUAACUACAGACUGAUGCAGUGGUUCCAGCAGUCACCAGGAGAAACAGAACUAAAACAGCUAGCUUAUUUAUAUUUCAAGUCUCAAACCUCAUACUUUGAAGAACAUCUAAACGUGACUGGGGAUUUGACUCAAAAUGAACCAAAGAACGCUUCUCUGAACAUGUUCAACCUUAAAGGUCCCGAACACAGUGCAGUGUAUUUCUGUGUUGCAAGUGAAGGUGCUGCACUGUGUUGUAGAUUCCCUCUCUCCUACAACAAAAACCCUAUGUGACACAGUCUGUCUCACUGUAGUAUCCCAUUUAGCAGAUUACCUCCCCUCACACCAGCAUUGAAGGUUUGGAUUUGAUUCAGUGCCAAUAUUGUAUAACCACAGAACUAGAACGAGUACAACGGGUCAUCCCCGUGAUGUCAUAAUGCUGUGCGCUGGCAGCCGUCCUUUUCUAGAUAUUCUAUUGGCUAUGACUGUAACAGAGUUCUGUCAAUUAAAACAACAAAUGAUGUCA